rnacentral:rRNA from 1 species
UACGGAGGGGGCGAGCGUUAUUCGGAAUUAUUGGGCGUAAAGGGCGCGUAGGCGGCUUUGUAAGUCAAAGGUGAAAUCCCUCGGCUCAACUGAGGAACUGCCUUUGAAACUGCAAGGCUUGAGGCCGGGAGGGGGUAGCGGAAUUCCCAAUGUAGCGGUGAAAUGCGUAGAUAUUGGGAGGAACACCAGUGGCGAAGGCGGCUACCUGGACCGGUUCUGACGCUGAUGCGCGAAAGCGUGGGUAGCAAACAGG